CGCAGCGUCGACGGGGGGAGACUUCCGGCCGCGUCUGGACCCCGGUAAGUCCGGACUAAGUGGGGACCAGCCCUCAGUCUCCAUCGCCUCUCAGAGGGGAAACACAUUGACCUGCAGGGGCUCUACUAUCACUUCUUUCCAUGUGCUGUUUGUCAGUGACCAACCACCUGUUGUAAAGCUGUCUGGUAAGCCAUCAGCUCUCCUCAAACUCCAGAAAGAGCUCUUCUGCCCUCUUUUACCCAGCCCCAAAUAAACACAGGAACAUUUCUUCCUCUUCAGUCUCCUGGCCCACUUUCUGGCUAAAAGUUGCAGCAUGAUUUUUCAGACUCCAGCCACCCGAGCAGCAAUCCUGGUAAAAUCCAGUGCUGCCUGAAAAUCCUGCCCGUAAGUGGGAUGCACAGCGAUGAAUUCCCUGAAAACGUUAUCGGCGUUUUUAUGCCAAAUGAGCGUUGCCUGUUGAUGCUGUGCUUGGCAACCUCAGUACCAGACUGCUGUUCCUGCAAUACUAUUGAUCACUAUUCUGUAUCCUUCACUAGAGAGAGAGAGAGUGCAAAGUAAGGAUGCACAAAGGGUUUUAUUUUAUUCCCUCAGCCUGUCUCUGGGACCAGUAGAAUGUUCACCAGAUCCCUCUUCAUUAAUAAGACAGGACGGUGCUUUUGAGUCUGCCUGCUGUUGAGAGGUUGUAAUGGAAAACACAGCACUUUCAUUCUUCAAUUAAUCCCUGGCAAAUUUAGGAACUUCUGGGCAUAGAGUUCUGAAUUCAGUUAGGAAUUCACACCGCCCCGUUAGAUAACCAAGCAAUGCUUUUCUUCAGCUCCGUGCAAAAGUCCUCUUUUGAAGGGCCCAACAAAAUCAGAAUGUGCAGAACAUAAAGUUCUUCACUGGGUGUUGAAAAUAAAAAGGCAAAAGUAGAUGUGUAGGCAGCAUGUAGGUGUGAGACAUGCAUUGAUAGUUCAACUGCCAGGGCUUCAUUCCUCAAGGAACCCUGAGAAUUGCUGCACAGGGGGUAACGGCUGGCCUAGCACUUUUGGCUAUGUAGCUAAUUUAGCCAACACAGUUAAACUACUAAAGUAACUAAAAGUUGCUUCCCAAGCACCCUUGAUGCACAACAGGAUUUUUUUCCUAUUGUUUUCAACUAACACUCAGGGCAGGGAAGGAGGACACAGGCUUUGUUCCAAAGGGUUUCAGAAUGAUUCCCUCCUUUAGAAAGUGACACAGUUGGUGUUACGAAACUCUGCAGGGAAGGGAGCAGAUGUAACAAUGUGCAGAAUACAUCGAAAGACAACUUCAGAGAAAGCUGAGCCAUGGAGACAUCUGCUCCUUGUGCCCUGUCUCUCGGCUCAUGCCUGCAGUGGGAAGCUUUCAGCUUUGAAUGAGUCAGCUGUUGGUCUGCCCACCAUUCAGAGAGCGGGAAGCCGUUCCAGUCACACUCUGUCCAGACUAACAGUUAUUCUUUCUCAUGGAAAAUACCAACCCAGCCCCAUGUAUGUUCUUUUCCAUUUGCACUUUCUAAUUCGUUUGCUUUUCAAAUGGCUUCUUGAAACCUAACUAUUUUAUUGUACCUGUAAUUAUUUUUGUUCUCACCUAAUGUGCAUUUUCUGUCUGUAUAAAAAAGCUUUGUUAUGUAAUUUAAUAAUAAAUUAGAAUUCUAAAUUA